rnacentral:rRNA from 1 species
GACGAACGCUGGCGGCGUGCUUAACACAUGCAAGUCGAACGGAAAGGCCCUGCUUUUGUGGGGUGCUCGAGUGGCGAACGGGUGAGUAACACGUGAGUAACCUGCCCUUGACUUUGGGAUAACUUCAGGAAACUGGGGCUAAUACCGGAUAGGAGCUCCUGCUGCAUGGUGGGGGUUGGAAAGUUUCGGCGGUUGGGGAUGGACUCGCGGCUUAUCAGCUUGUUGGUGGGGUAGUGGCUUACCAAGGCUUUGACGGGUAGCCGGCCUGAGAGGGUGACCGGCCACAUUGGGAAUGAGAUACGGCCCAGACUCGUACGGGAGGCAGCAGUGGGGAAUAUUGCACAAUGGGCGGAAGCCUGAUGCAGCAACGCCGCGUGCGGGAUGACGGCCUUCGGGUUGUAAACCGCUUUCGCCUGUGACGAAGCGUGAGUGACGGUAAUGGGUAAAGAAGCACCGGCUAACUACGUG